GCCUCACUGUCCAUCCUGAUAAAAUCACCAUAGCAACAGGACAAGUGGCUGGCACAUCCUCAGAUGGAAAACAGUUGGCUCCUCACGUGCGAGUGUGGGACUCUGUGAGUUUGAACACGUUGCACAUCCUUGGAACUGGUUUCUUUGAUCGAGCGCUGGUUUGCCUCUCCUUCUCAAAGUCGAAUGGAGGAAGCUGGUUGUGUGUUGUGGACGACUCCAAUGACCACAUUCUCUCUGUGUGGGACUGGCAGAGGGAGGAAAGACUUGCUGAA